CGACCGGCGCACGGGUGAGUAACGCGUAUGCAACCUGCCUACUACAGGGGAAUAACCCGGAGAAAUCCGGACUAAUACCGCAUAAUACAGGGCUCCCUCAUGGGAAUAUUGUUAAAGAUUUAUCGGUAGUAGAUGGGCAUGCGUACCAUUAGCUAGUUGGUAAGGUAACGGCUUACCAAGGCAACGAUGGUUAGGGGAACUGAGAGGUUUAUCCCCCACACUGGAACUGAGACACGGACCAG
rnacentral:rRNA from 1 species